rnacentral:rRNA from 1 species
UACAGAGGUCUCAAGCGUUGUUCGGAUUCAUUGGGCGUAAAGGGUGCGUAGGUGGCGUUGUAAGUCAGGUGUGAAAUCUCGGAGCUUAACUCCGAAACUGCAUUCGAUACUGCCGUGCUUGAGGACUGGAGAGGAGACUGGAAUUUACGGUGUAGCGGUGAAAUGCGUAGAUAUCGUAAGGAAGACCAGUGGCGAAGGCGGGUCUCUGGACAGUUCCUGACGCUGAGGCACGAAGGCCAGGGGAGCAAACGGG